UACGGGGGGAGCAAGCGUUGUUCGGAUUUACUGGGCGUAAAGGGCGCGUAGGCGGCCACCGCAAGUCGGUUGUGAAAUCUCUGGGCUUAACCCAGAAAGGUCAACCGAUACUGCGGGGCUAGAGUGCAGAAGGGGCAACUGGAAUUCUCGGUGUAGCGGUGAAAUGCGUAGAUAUGCGGAGGAACACCGAUGGCGAAGGCAAUCCCCUGGGCCUGCACUGACGCUCAUGCACGAAAGCGUGGGGAGCAAACAGG
rnacentral:rRNA from 1 species